rnacentral:rRNA from 1 species
GGGUUGUGAGGUUAAGCGACUAAGCGUACACGGUGGAUGCCCUGGCAGUCAGAGGCGAUGAAGGGCGUGCUAAUCUGCGAUAAGCGCCGGUAAGGUGAUAUGAACCGUUAUAACCGGCGAUACCCGAAUGGGGAAACCCAGUGUGAUUCGUCACACUAUCAUUAACUGAAUCCAUAGGUUAAUGAGGCGAACCGGGGGAACUGAAACAUCUAAGUACCCCGAGGAAAAGAAAUCAACCGAGAUUCCCCCAGUAGCGGCGAGCGAACGGGGAGGAGCCCAGAGCCUGAAUCAGCAUGUGUGUUAGUGGAAGCGUCUGGAAAGGCGCGCGAUACAGGGUGACAGCCCCGUACACAAAAGCGCAUGUGCUGUGAGCUCGAUGAGUAGGGCGGGACACGUGGUAUCCUGUCUGAAUAUGGGGGGACCAUCCUCCAAGGCUAAAUACUCCUGACUGACCGAUAGUGAACCAGUACCGUGAGGGAAAGGCGAAAAGAACCCCGGCGAGGGGAGUGAAAAAGAACCUGAAACCGUGUACGUACAAGCAGUGGGAGCACCCUUUGGGGUGUGACUGCGUACCUUUUGUAUAAUGGGUCAGCGACUUAUAUUCUGUAGCAAGGUUAACCGAAUAGGGGAGCCGGAGGGAAACCGAGUCUUAACCGGGCGUUAAGUUGCAGGGUAUAGACCCGAAACCCGGUGAUCUAGCCAUGGGCAGGUUGAAGGUUGGGUAACACUAACUGGAGGACCGAACCGACUAAUGUUGAAAAAUUAGCGGAUGACCUGUGGCUGGGGGUGAAAGGCCAAUCAAACCGGGAGAUAGCUGGUUCUCCCCGAAAGCUAUUUAGGUAGCGCCUCGUGAAUUCAUCUCCGGGGGUAGAGCACUGUUUCGGCUAGGGGGCCAUCCCGGCUUACCAACCCGAUGCAAACUGCGAAUACCGGAGAAUGUUAUCACGGGAGACACACGGCGGGUGCUAACGUCCGUCGUGAAGAGGGAAACAACCCAGACCGCCAGCUAAGGUCCCAAAGUCAUGGUUAAGUGGGAAACGAUGUGGGAAGGCCCAGACAGCCAGGAUGUUGGCUUAGAAGCAGCCAUCAUUUAAAGAAAGCGUAAUAGCUCACUGGUCGAGUCGGCCUGCGCGGAAGAUGUAACGGGGCUAAACCAUGCACCGAAGCUGCGGCAGCGACACUAUGUGUUGUUGGGUAGGGGAGCGUUCUGUAAGCCUGUGAAGGUGUGUCGUGAGGCA